AGAUAUGUCCAUUAACACUUUAAGAAUGUGGUUGUUUUUUUAAAAAAUAUUUAUAUUCGCUCUUUUCCUCCCUGGCUGCUUGAGGGUCUACCGCCAUCAUGAACGACACAGUAACUAUCCGGACCAGGAAGUUCAUGACCAACCGACUACUUCAGAGGAAACAAAUGGUCAUCGAUGUCCUUCAUCCUGGGAAGGCAACAGUACCAAAGACAGAAAUUAGGGGAAAACUAGCCAAAAUGUACAAGACCACACCAGAUGUCAUCUUUGUAUUUGGAUUCAGAACUCACUGUGGUGGUGGCAAAACAACUGGCUUUGGCAUGAUUUACAAUUCCUUGGAUUACGCAAAGAAAAAUGAACCCAAACAUAGACUUGCAAGGCAUGGCCUGUAUGAGAAGAAAAAGACAUCAAGAAAGCAACGAAAGGAACGCAAGAACAGAAUGAAGAAAGUCAGGGGGACUGCAAAGGCCAACGCUGGUGCUGGCAAAAAGCCGAAGGAGUAAAGACUCUGCAGUGACGUUACCUGCCGCCAUCGUUUGGAUUUUUCACAAGAAGAUUAAUAGACUUAAAAACUUUCAAAAA